GACGAACCGUGCAAACGUUAUUCGGAAUCACUAGGGCUUAAAGGGCGCGUAGGCGGGCUCGCCAGUCAGGGGUGAAAGCCUCCAGCUCAACUGGAGAAGUGCCUUUGAUACUGCGAGUCUCGAGGGAGGUAGGGGCGUGCGGAACUUCCGGUGGAGCGGUGAAAUGCGCAGAUAUCAGGAGGAACACCAAUUGCGAAGGCAGCUCGCUGGGACGUAACUGACGCUGAGACGCGAAAGCGUGGGGAGCAAACAGG
rnacentral:rRNA from 1 species